CCAGCUCCAAUAGCGUAUAUUAAAGUUGUUGCAGUUAAAAAGCUCGUAGUUGAACCUUGGGCAAGAUGCAUCAGGUCGACCGAAAGGCAGGACUUGGUCAUCACGCCUCUGUUGGGGGACUUGUUGCUUCGGCGGCGAGGUAACCUACGUUACUGUGAAGAAAUUAGAGUGUUUAAAGCAGGCGAUCGCUUGAAUACAUCAGCAUGGAAUAACAAGACAAGACAUUAGUCUUCUUGUUGGUUUGGAGAUAAAUGUAAUGAUUAAUAGGGCCAGUUGGGGGCAUUAGUAUUUAGUAGUCAGAGGUGAAAUUCUUGGAUUUACUAAAGACUAACUAGUGCGAAAGCAUUUGCCAAGGAUGUUUUCAUUAAUCAAGAACGAAAGUUAGGGGAUCGAAGACGAUCAGAUACCGUCGUAGUCUUAACUAUAAACGAUGCCGACUAAGGAUCGGCAGAAGUCGUUAGCGACUCUGUCGGCACUUUGUGAGAAAUCAAAGUUUUUGGGUUCUGGGGGGAGUAUGGUCGCAAGGCUGAAACUUAAAGGAAUUGACGGAAGGGCACCACCAGGAGUGGAGCCUGCGGCUUAAUUCGACUCAAC
rnacentral:rRNA from 1 species